rnacentral:lncRNA from 1 species
UUACCCUUGUUCUUGGUUUUGCCUUUUUGUGUUUUUACCUUUGCCUCCCUGGACUGACCACCUGCGUGCCAAAUCCCUGCUUGCCUGACCAUGCCUAAACGAACAAUAAAUAUCGGUAUAAUGCACCUGAGCUCUGUCCCUGCAUUUGGGUCUGCACCUACACCUGUACGUGACAGAAUGACCCAGCCACCAGCAGACCCAGCGGGACCCUAGAUGCAGGAUUUUUCAUUUUGCAGCGAGUUAGAGGAGUUUCUUGCCGAGCUGGAGCCCCUGCUCUCCAGACUGAAGGAGACCAUCUUUCCCCAGGUGAUAUUGGACACUCCAAUGGGAGUUUGUGUGGCCAUUCGUCUCCGGCCUGCUCUGGAGAGAGUUCCCAUCGUGGUGAAGACAUUGGAGAACACAAAGAAGCAGAUAAGGAGGUUGCUAGGCUCUCCGUGUUCUCCACCUCCGGAGACGACCUCAGCCCCCAGAUCCUCCUCGUCACCAGAAUCCAUGCACCAUCAAAAGCUAAGUCCCUCCUCAGCACACAACUCUCAGUUGGAGUCCAGUAUGCAGCCUUUAUCCAGUCCCCAGUUACAGUCCAGUUCCCAGUCAGAGUCUCCUAGCUUUCAGACUAGUGUCCCUGAGUCUCCUAGCUUCCAGGUUAGCGUCCCGGAGUCUACUAGCUUCCAGGUUAGCGUCCCGAAGUCUACUAGCUUCCAGGUUAGCGUCCCGAAGUCUACUAGCUUCCAGGCUAACAUUUAUGUGUCUGCUAGCUUCCAGGCUAGCGUCCCUGAGUCCCCUAGCUUCAAGACUAGAUUUCCAGAGUCUUCCAGCUUCAAGACUAGAUUUCCAGAGUCCCCAAGCUGUCGGGCUAGAUUUCCAGAGUCCCCUAGCUGUCGGGCAAGAUUUCCCGAGUCGCCUAGCUGUCGGGCUAGAUUUCCCGAGUCCCCCCGCACCAGGCCACCUUUGCUUGGCCCGCCAGAGCCCUCUUUGUCUGGCCCAACGGAGGUGUCAACGCCUGAGCCCCCUUCGUCCACCCACCAGAUGUGACAUUAGAUGUAAAAGUGGUAGAAAG